CUAGAACUUGUUAGCAAUAUAAAGUAGCUAACAGCUUAAUAAUUACAAUAAUAUUAACCAAAAAAUAAUACGACCUCCAAUAUAGAAACAUAUAAUUUAUUUAUAGUUUAAUAUUUUUUCAUUAUAGCUUUUGUUGUUUAAUCUACCGAAUCUGCGUCGCGUGUGCUUCAAACAACAACUAAUUUUCCGGACUCGCUCGUGGCGGCAGCCGAAAUGAAAGUGAGCGAAGAGCAUCGAAACUUCCCGUUUCACACAAAGUCAGCUGUGUUUUGCUGUUCCGCAUCUACGACCUGUUAUGACAGGUAAGCAGACCCGUGGAACCGAGUCAGAAUUGGUGGCUGACGGACUUUUUCAUGACGAAGGCGGGGAGGAAGAAACGAUGCAGACUUGAUGUGUUUCUCUUUGAACUAAAAUGAAAGUGGAGCUCAGGUUUGUUUCCAAAUGAGCUACUAUAAAUGAAGCUCCUCGCUCCGGCCGGCUUCACAACUCCCACUGCUCAGCUGACGAAGAACCAGACAUACCUGGAAGAUGGCUGACAAAAUCAUCGUUUUCAUUGACCUGGAGGCCACUGGAUUAGAUACUUCACAGUGUGACAUCAUCCAACUGGCCGCUGUCUGUGAGGAGAGAGUCUUCAAUAAAUACACUGUCCCUCAGCAAAACAU